UACGGAGGGUGCAAACGUUGUUCGGAAUCAUUGGGCGUAAAGGGCACGCAGGCUGUGUGUCAGGUCGGAUGUGAAAGCCCUGGGCUCAACCCAGGAAUUGCGUUCGAAACCGGCAUACUGGAGUCUUGGAGAGGGAAGCGGAAUUCCUGGUGUAGGGGUGAAAUCCGUAGAUAUCAGGAGGAAGACCGGCGGCGAAGGCGGCUUCCUGGCCAAAGACUGACGCUGAGGUGCGAAAGCGUGGGUAGCAAAC
rnacentral:rRNA from 1 species